AGAACGAACGCUGGCGGCGUGGAUAAGACAUGCAAGUCGAACGGGGCAAUUCGGUAGCAAUACUGGAUUGUUCAGUGGCGAACGGGUGCGUAACACGUGGGUAAUAUGCCGGGAAGCAAGGAAUAGCCCAGGGAAACUUGGAUUAAUACCUUAUGUGGUCGCAAGACUAAAGGCGGGGUAACCUGCCACUUCCUGAUUAGCCCGCGGCCUAUCAGCUUGUUGGUGAGGUAAUGGCUCACCAAGGCUACGACGGGUAGCUGGUCUGAGAGGAUGACCAGCCACACUGGAACUGAGACACGGUCCAGACACCUACGGGUGGCAGCAGUCGAGAAUCUUUCACAAUGGGGGAAACCCUGAUGGAGCGACGCCGCGUGGAGGAUAAGGUCUUCGGAUUGUAAACUCCUGUCAUGCGAGAGCAAGAUUUGCCAGCUAACUCUGGCAAAUUUGAUAGUAUCGCAAGAGGAAGAGACGCUAACUCUGUGCCAGCACG
rnacentral:rRNA from 1 species